GACGAGCCGAGCGAACGUUGUUCGGAAUCACUGGGCUUAAAGGGCGCGUAGGCGGGCAUCCUAGUCUGUGGUGAAAUCCGGCAGCUUAACUGUCGAAUUGCCAUGGAUACUGGGUGUCUCGAGGGAGGCAGGGGUGCGCGGAACUGAUGGUGGAGCGGUGAAAUGCGUUGAUAUCAUCAGGAACUCCGGUGGCGAAGGCGGCGCACUGGUCCUUUUCUGACGCUGAGGCGCGAAAGCCAGGGGAGCAAACGGG
rnacentral:rRNA from 1 species